CCUACGGGAGGCAGCAGUGAGGAAUAUUGGUCAAUGGCCGGAAGGCUGAACCAGCCAAGCCGCGUGAAGGACGAAGGUGCCAAGCAUUGUAAACUUCUUUUGUCAAGGGACAAAAUCAGGCUCGAGAGCCUGAUCGAGGGUACUUGAAGAACAAGCAUCGGCUAACUCGGUUCCAGCAGCCGCGGUAAUACGGGGGAUGCGAGCGUUACCCGGUUGUAUUGGGUUUAAAGGGUGCGAAGGCGGGCAAUUAAGUCAGCGGUAAAAGCCCGGGGCUCAACCCCGGCGAGCCGUUGAAACUGGCGGUCUUGAGAGGACGAGAGGUGUGCGGAAUGCGAGGUGUAGCGGUGGAAUGCGUAGAUA
rnacentral:rRNA from 1 species